CGGCGUGCUUAACACAUGCAAGUCGUACGAGAACUCUUCUGCUUGCAGAAGAUAGUAAAGUGGCGCACGGGUGAGUAACGCGUGGGUAAUCUACCUCUAAAUCGGGGAUAACCCGCCGAAAGGCGAGCUAAUACCGGAUAAUAUCUUUAAAACUUAGGUUUUUUAAGAUCAAAGGUGGUCUCUACAUGUAAGCUACUGUUUGGAGAUGAGCCCGCGUACCAUUAGCUUGUUGGUAGGGUAAUGGCCUACCAAGGCCGCGAUGGUUAGCUGGUCUGAGAGGAUGAUCAGCCACACUGGAACUGACACACGGUCCAGACUCCUACGGGAGGCAGCAGUGAGGAAUUUUGCGCAAUGGGGGAAACCCUGACGCAGCAACGCCGCGUGAGUGAUGAAGGCUUUCGGGUCGUAAAGCUCUGUCAAGUGGGAAGAAAAUGCUAGAUGCUAAUACCAUCUUGCACUGACGGUACCACUAAAGGAAGCACCGGCUAACUCCGUG
rnacentral:rRNA from 1 species